rnacentral:tRNA from 1 species
GCGCCCGUAGCUCAGCCGGACAGAGCAGCUGCCUUCUAAGCAGCGGGUCGCGGGUUCGAAUCCUGCCGGGCGCGCCA